CCUACGGUGGGCAGCAGUGGGGAAUAUUGCACAAUGAGGGAAACCCUGAUGCAGCGACGCCGCGUGCGUGAAGAAGUAUCUCGGUACGUAAAGCUCUAUCAGCAGGAAAGAACAUGACGGUACCUGACUAAGAAGCCCCGGCUAACUCCGUGCCAGCAACCGCGGUAAUACGUAGGGGGCAAGCGUUAUCCGGCUUUACUGGGGUUAAAGGGAGCGUAGACGGCGCUGCAAGUCCGGGGUGAAAGCCCAGGGGUUAACCAUGGUACUGCUCUGGAAACUGUAGAGCUUGAGUGCGGGAGGGGCAGGCGGAAGUACUAGUGUAGCGGUGAAAUGCGUAGAUAUUAGGAGGAACACCGGAGGCGAAGGCGGCCUGCUGGACCGUAACUGACGUUGAGGCUCGAAAGCGUGGGGAGCAAACAGGAUUAGAUACCCUUGUAGUC
rnacentral:rRNA from 1 species